AGUGAACGCUGGCGGUAGGCCUAACACAUGCAAGUCGAACGGCAGCACAGUAAGAGCUUGCUCUUACGGGUGGCGAGUGGCGGACGGGUGAGGAAUACAUCGGAAUCUACUUUUUCGUGGGGGAUAACGUAGGGAAACUUACGCUAAUACCGCAUACGACCUACGGGUGAAAGCAGGGGAUCUUCGGACCUUGCGCGAUUGAAUGAGCCGAUGUCGGAUUAGCUAGUUGGCGGGGUAAAGGCCCACCAAGGCGACGAUCCGUAGCUGGUCUGAGAGGAUGAUCAGCCACACUGGCACUGAGACACGGUCCAGACUCCUACGGUAGGCAGCAGUGGGGAAUAUUGGACAAUGGGCGCAAGCCUGAUCCAGCCAUACCGCGUGGGUGAAGAAGGCCUUCGGGUUGUAAAGCCCUUUUGUGGGGAAAGAAAAGCAGCAGGUUAAUACCCAGCUGUUCUGACGGUACCCAAAGAAUAAGCACCGGCUAACUUUGUG
rnacentral:rRNA from 1 species